rfam:Candidate division Zixibacteria bacterium RBG-1 RBG1_1C00001, whole genome shotgun sequence.
GCCGGAGUGGCGGAACAGGUAGACGCAAGGGACUUAAAAUCCCUCCCUGAUUUUCAGGGUGCCGGUUCGAUUCCGGCCUCCGGCA